GGAAGACUGAAAUAUGAGGCAAGUCCUUCCAAAACUAGAUAGCCGAUACUACAAAUGAAUGCUCAUAGGUCGUAGUAGCAAAAUUUGGCAUCUUGAAGGAAAU